rnacentral:rRNA from 1 species
GUUAAAAAGCUCGUAGUUGGAUUUCUGCCGUGGUGCGCCUGGCCCGGCCUCUAGGGGUUGUGAGCCGGCGCGCACCGGGCAUCCUUCGUGUGAACACGUCUGCCGUUGAUUCGGUUCGGGCGUGGGAACACGAUCGUUUACUUUGAAGAAAUUAGAGUGUUCAAAGCAGGCAUUUGCUGUGAAUAGGUUAGCAUGGAAUAAUAAGAUAGGGCUUCGGUUCUAUUUUGUUGGUUUCUAGGACUGAAGUAAUGAUUGAUAGGGAUAGUUGGGGGUGCUCGUAUUGACCGGCCAGAGGUGAAAUUCACGGAUUCGGUCAAGACGAACUUAUGCGAAAGCAUUCACCAAGGAUGUCUUCUUUAAUCAAGAACGAAAGUUGGGGGAUCGAAGACGAUCAGAUACCGUCGUAGUCUCAACCAUAAACUAUGCCGACUAGGGAUUGGGUCGCGUUGAUUUUCAGGACCGACUCAGCACCUUAUGAGAAAUCAAAGUCUUUGGGUUCCGGGGGGUGUAUGGUCGCAAGGCUGAAACUUAAAGGAAUUGACGGAAGGGCACCACCAGGCGUGGAGCCUGCGGCUUAAUUUGAUUCAACACGGGAAAACUUACCAGGUCCAGACAU